UCUUCCAUAAUCUACACUGAAAUCUUCUAUUUCUGGUUUCAGUUUGUGAAACCGAAAGCCCUAAUCUGGUGUUCGUAUUUGUAAACCUAAAUCCUCAACCCCGACUUCGAAAAUUUAGUGAAAAGCCCAAUGGAGAGCUUCGUCGUGGUGACCUGAAGCAUAGACGAUUCAAAGGAGAUUUACGGAGGCUUCAUUCAUCUUGUACUAAGAAAGGUAUUGGAUUUUUUUUUCUUUCAUUUAUUGUAGGAUAAUGUUCAGUAGGUUUAAGGUAUUUUCCAUCAUACUUUAAAGGUAUUGAUAUUGAUAAUCUAUUGUGAUCUCAAAGUGUUUUUCUUCAUAUGCGACCUUGAAGCAAAGAAGCUGGUGUUCUGUUUUGUAUCGUGCAGUACCAAAAUUUGAGAUGUAAGUCUUCUUUUCCAAUAACUUAAAUUUUUGUCUUUGGAAUGCAUUAUAUAUUGUCUUACUUUUUGUAACAUAUUCCUGGAUAAUGCAACCUACCUUAACCAACCUCUCUCUCUCUAUAUAUAUAUAUAUAUAUUUUUUUUUAUGUAAAUUUAUACUUAGUUAAUUUUAUAAGUUUUUUAAAAAAUGUUUCUGAAAUUAUUUAUGACUAUGAAUCUCUAUAUAUAUAUAUAUAUUUAUGUACGUGUGUCUUUCAUUUGAUAAGGGUAAAUACUCUUUUGCUUAGUUGGUCCAACUGAUCCGACCUCCAUAUGCUUUUGUUCAAAUAUCAUUGCAUUUUCUUGCUUAAAACCACCUAAACUAAACUUAACCAUUUCAUUUACCGUAUAAAAAGAAUUAAUAUAAAUUUUUAAUGUUAAUCUAUCUGUGUGCAGUUGAGAAAACAAGAUAUUGAAGCUAGACUUUUGGUGAAGAUCAAAGUUGGAUCCAGAAAAGCAUGUGAGUAUGUUAGAAAGCCGAUUGCGUAUCACAAUUGUUUAUUUAAAAUAUAUAUUUUUUCAAAUUAUAGUUAUAUUAUGUAAAUUACAUUGAAAAGAGAAAUGUAUAUGUAAAUUCUAAAAUGUAAAAUUCUCUAAACCAACAAAACAGAAUGUAGCAAUCAAGUAUCAUCACAAUUCAGAACCAUUUUAAUAAAACCACAAAGGUGGUAUUUUAAAAAAAUUCAAAUAUAUUUCUUCUUUCAAUUUUAGAUGUCCUCUAGAAUUGAUUCACACAUAAUUAAGAGGAAAUAAGAAAAUUGUCCGAAUUAAUUUACUAUACAUUAGAAUUUGACAACUGAUUGAUAAGGAGAUUUUCCUUUUCUCUAUUUUGUGUUAUGCAGUUAGGUACCUAUUCUCUUAGGUUGUUGAUUGUUGGGAUCUUCUUCCCUUCCUUCCUUCUGAUAUAGGAAGUGUCGUUCAACAACAAUUUUAACAAGUACUGUCACACCAAGAACCACCAAGGCAAAAGGAACCACCCAGGCAACAAGAAAAUGACGAUAUUGAUUAUGCAAGCUAUUAGGAUUAUGUUUGUAGUUUUUUAAAUUGCGGAUUAUAUAAUUAGGUCACUUGACUUUUGAAUUAGGGAUCUUUAAUUAUGUUUGAAGUUUAUUUGGAUUUUUAUAGAUAUUUCAAGUGGACUUGAGUUUAUCUUUCAUAAAUGUGUUUUCUUUUUCUUUUUAUGUUAGGUGUAUUGGAUGAUUGUUCGGUAAAAAAUUGUUCAUUAGUAUAUCUUGGAUAUGAUUUGGAUAUAUUAAAUUUAUACAAGUGUUAAAAAA
rnacentral:lncRNA from 1 species